rnacentral:rRNA from 1 species
AUUGAACGCUGGCGGCAGGCCUAACACAUGCAAGUCGAGCGAGCGGCGGACGGGUGAGUAAUGUCUGGGAAACUGCCUGAUGGAGGGGGGGAACUACUGGAAACGGUAGCUAAUACCGCAUACCAUCAGAUGUGCCCAGAUGGGAUUCGCUAGUAGGGCGGGUAACGGAUCACCUAGGCGACGAUCCCUCGCUGGUUUGAGAGGAUGACCAGCCACACUGGAACUGAGACACGGUCAAGACUCCUCCGUGAGACAGCAGGGGGGAAUAUUGCACAAUGGGCUCAAGCCUGAUGCAGCCAUGCCGAGUAUGUGAAGAAGGCCUUCGGGUUGUAAAGCACUUUCAGCGGGGAGGCGUUACCCGCAGAAGAAGCACCGGCUAACUCCGUGCCAGCAGCCGCGGUAAUAC